rnacentral:rRNA from 1 species
UACGUAGGGGGCAAGCGUUGUCCGGAAUCAUUGGGCGUAAAGAGCGUGUAGGCGGUCCGGUCAGUCGGUUGUGAAAGUCAAGGGCUCAACCCUUGAAUGCCGGCCGAUACUGCCGGGCUAGAGUCCGGAAGAGGUGAGUGGAAUUCCUGGUGUAGCGGUGAAAUGCGCAGAUAUCAGGAGGAACACCGGUGGCGAAGGCGGAUCUCUGGGCCUUACCUGACGCUCAGGCGCGAAAGCUAGGGGAGCGAACAGG